rnacentral:rRNA from 1 species
GAUGAACGCUGGCGGCGUGCCUAAUACAUGCAAGUCGAGCGAACGGACGAGAAGCUUGCUUCUCUGAUGUUAGCGGCGGACGGGUGAGUAACACGUGGAUAACCUACCUAUAAGACUGGGAUAACUUCGGGAAACCGGAGCUAAUACCGGAUGAUAUUUUGAACCGCAUGGUUCAAUAGUGAAAUACGGUCUUGCUGUCACUUAUAGAUGGAUCCGCGCUGCAUUAGCUAGUUGGUAAGGUAACGGCUUACCAAGGCAACGAUGCAUAGCCGACCUGAGAGGGUGAUCGGCCACACUGGAACUGAGACACGGUCCAGACUCCUACGGGAGGCAGCAGUAGGGAAUCUUCCGCAAUGGGCGAAAGCCUGACGGAGCAACGCCGCGUGAGUGAUGAAGGUCUUCGGAUCGUAAAACUCUGUUAUUAGGGAAGAACAUAUGUGUAAGUAACUGUGCACAUCUUGACGGUACCUAAUCAGAAAGCCACGGCUAACUACGUG